CCUACGGGAGGCAGCAGUGGGGGAUAUUGCACAAUGGGGGAAACCCUGAUGCAGCGACGCCGCGUGGGUGAAGAAGUAUUUCGGUAUGUAAAGCCCUAUCAGCAGGGAAGAAAGAAGACGGUACCUGACUAAGAAGCCCCGGCUAACUACGUGCCAGCAGCCGCGGUAAUACGUAGGGGGCGAGCGUUAUCCGGAUUCACUGGGUGUAAAGGGAGCGUAGACGGCCGUGCAAGCCAGGAGUGAAAGCCCGGGGCCCAACCCCGGGACUGCUCGUGGAACUGUGCGGCUGGAGUGCGGGAGGGGCAGGCGGAAUGCCUGGUGUAGCGGUGAAAUGCGUAGAUAUCAGGAGGAACACCGGCGGCGAAGGCGGCCUGCUGGACCGCGACUGACGUUGAGGCUCGAAAGCGUGGGGAGCGAACAGGAUUAGAUACCCCUGUAGUC
rnacentral:rRNA from 1 species